CAAAAACCUGACCACAGACACCAGACUCAUGUUCGAAGAUAAGAGAAACCACAAACCACCGCUCCUCAUCCAAGGUUUCUGCUUUUUACUUGUUCAGGGAAGAAAUGGAAGCUCAUCAUCUGAUCGUCAAGGAAAAAUACACAAUUAUAACUCCUGACAAUUUUCCUAAUUUUUAAAAUUCUUAAUUAUUUAUCGUAAGGAAAAUAAAAGUUUACUAUGAGCAAGAGAACAUUUUCAGAAAAGUCAGCCAUUUUCUAGUGAUGCUUAAAAGUUUUGUACAAAGAGGUUUUUAGAUUUAAGGAGUUCUGCAAAUAAUUUAUCACCUUAUUUUCAACAUUCUGACUUCAAAGCUUAGAAAAAUCAACAUCUGAAGCAAAACUUCAGGACGACUCAGCAUCCUGAAACCUGUAGGAGCAAAAGGUCCAGAUAAAAUGACCACCAGCCUCUAACAGGAUAAAUUUAAUCUGAAUGAAGUUUCAGUUUUUUCUCCUCAGGAAGAAAAGCUGCAGAGUUUCAGGCUGAAAUGUUUGAUCUACUGAACCCGUUUAAUGGAACCGAAACUGAAAAAAAUCAGAUGAAAACCAAUGAGUUGGUUUCAUCUGGUGCAGCAGAGCCGAGUCCAGACGGAGACGAUUCUGGAAGGAAACCCGGUGAAAGUUUCAUAUCGAUGCUCCAAACUCAUCAAACCGUUUCUUCUUCUGGACCCGACAGCUGCAGAUCCUCCUCCCACAAACUGGGUCGGUGCCGAGCAGCCUGGGCUCUGCUCUCUGAACCCGUCUCGGAUCAGAACCUCACUGCUGGGACCGGCUCACCUAUUCAUGGAUCAACAGCGCCAUCAUGUGGACUCAGGAGAAGCUUUAAACCAGAGGCGGUAACCUCCGGGCCGGUCCAGAGGGAAACACACAUCUUCACUUCUACAUUCAGAAGUUUUUCUGUCCUUUUCGGUUCUUCAGUGUAUUUAUGUUUAUUUAUGAUUAUUUCAAACAUCCCCCUUCAGUCUCCUGCUGCUCUGCAUCCUGGUUUCCAUCCCACAAUCAUGAAAAAUUAGAAAUAUUGUUUUUGUAUUUCUUUUAAAGCUUGCUCUUUAUUUCGAGCUGAUUUUUCAUCCCUGCUUCCUGUUUUCAUUGUUUCCAUUCAUGGAUCCUCUGAUUUCCUCUCAAUAAUGUUUAUUUUUAUGUUUGAACUGAAUUUAUUUUACAUUUUUGAUGCCUUCAGAUUUAAUCGAUCUGCCCUGUAGAGCAAAUGCUUCAGUACCAAAAACGGCCAGCAGGUGGCGGUGGCGCUCCAUCAGAGAAAUGGACUGAUUUCAUUGGGAAACUGUAAAACAUGAAGGAAAUGAAUUCACUAUGAACCAUUAUUGGACAUUAUGGUAUUUUUAUGAUGUGAAGACUUUGAACUGCCUGGCUGCUGAAAUGUGCAAUAAAUUUGAUUUGAACUG